GAACGCACCUUGCGCCCUUUGGCUAUUCCGAAGGGCAUGCCUGUUUGAGUAUCAUGAACACCUCAACUCUCAUGGUUUGCCAUGAUGAGCUUGGACUUUGGGGGUCUUGCUGGCCUACGGUCAGCUCCCCUAAAAUGAAUCAGCUUGCCAGUGUUUGGUGGGAUCACAGGUGUGAUAACUAUCUACGCUUGUGGCCUUCCACCAAUUAACUUCCAGCAAUGGAGGUUCGCUGGAGCUCAUAAACGUCUCUCCUCAGCGAGGACAGCUCUUUUGAAUGUUUGAUCUCAAAUCAGGUAGGACUACCCGCUGAACUUAAG
rnacentral:misc_RNA from 1 species